AACGAACGCUGGCGGCAGGCCUAACACAUGCAAGUCGAGCGGACCCUUCGGGGUUAGCGGCGGACGGGUGAGUAACGCGUGGGAAUAUGCCCUUCUCUACGGAAUAGUCCUGGGAAACUGGGGGUAAUACCGUAUACGCCCUUUGGGGGAAAGAUUUAUCGGGGAAGGAUUAGCCCGCGUUGGAUUAGGUAGUUGGUGGGGUAAUGGCCUACCAAGCCGACGAUCCAUAUCUGGUUUGAGAGGAUGAUCAGCCACACUGGGACUGAGACACGGCCCAGACUCCUACGGGAGGCAGCAGUGGGGAAUCUUAGACAAUGGGGGCAACCCUGAUCGAGCCAUGCCGCGUGAGUGAUGAAGGCCUUAGGGUUGUAAAGCUCUUUCAGCUGGGAAGAUAAUGACGGUACCAGCAGAAGAAGCCCCGGCUAACUCCGUG
rnacentral:rRNA from 1 species